ensembl:lncRNA
CACAAUGUCACUGGUGCUUAGCACCAAUCCGCUCUCAGGCCUGCCUCUGUGUUCUACGGCAGUUACACGUGCACAGUGGUAUCAGCUACACACGCACAGUGGUAUCUGGGAACAGUUUUGUGGUCUCAAAGGUUUUCUACCUGAGAGGCAUAACGCAGGCCAACUGAUUCAUCAGAAUCAGGAUGGUAAUCAUAGAGGAUGCAGAUAGUUUGCGGGCACAGGAGCGAGAGAAUAUCAUCAUGAACUAUGAGAAGGGACACCAAGCUGGGCUGCCAGACGACAUGGGGCCUGAGCCUGUUGGAAUCUACAACAACAUUGAUCGCUUUGGGAUUGUGCAGUGAGUCCUCUGUGCUCCCCUCACCCCUGAAGCACCUGUCUCAGCUCAGGGAUGGGUUUGCUUUCAGAAAGGCCUUUCUGAGGCAGGACUGUCUCGCCAGGUCAGGCCAACCUCCUUUCCAGGGUCAGAACUCCUCCCUGGCUCCCCUGCAGGUCCAGCCCCAGGUUGCUGUUAGGCCAGAGGUGCGGGGCCCAUCUAGGGAGCGGGUGGGAAUGGAGACUGGGCUAGGUCAGGCCCCUGGACUCUCAGCAGUUCUGUCCCCAAGUCAGCACAAGAGGAGCGGGGCAGCCUGA